rnacentral:misc_RNA from 1 species
GAUGAAGAACGUAGCGAAAUGCGAUAAGUAAUGUGAAUUGCAGAAUUCAGUGAAUCAUCGAAUCUUUGAACGCACAUUGCGCCCGCCAGUAUUCUGGCGGGCAUGCCUGUUCGAGCGUCAUUUCAACCAUCAAGCCCCCCGGCUUGUGUUGGGGACCCGCGGCUGCCGCAGGCCCUGAAAAGCAGUGGCGGGCUCGCUGUCACACCGAGCGUAGUAGAUCUCAUCUCGCUCAGGGCGUGCUGCGGGUUCCGGCCGUUAAACCACCUUCAUAACCCAAGGUUGACCUCGUAUCAGGUAGGAAGACCCGCUGAACUUAAGCAUAUCAAUAAGCGGAGGA